rnacentral:rRNA from 1 species
UGGGGAAUAUUGCACAAUGGAGGGAACUCUGAUGCAGCGACGCCGCGUGAACGAAGAAGGCUUUCGAGUCGUAAAGUUCUUUUAUAUGGGAAGAUAAUGACGGUACCAUAAGAAAAAGCCCCGGCUAACUACGUGCCAGCAGCCGCGGUAAUACGUAGGGGGCUAGCGUUGUCCGGAAUCACUGGGCGUAAAGGGUUCGCAGGCGGAAAUGCAAGUCAGGUGUAAAAGGCUGUAGCUUAACUACUGUAAGCAUUUGAAACUGCAUAUCUUGAGAAGAGUAGAGGUAAGUGGAACUUUUAGUGUAGCGGUGAAAUGCGUAGAUAUUAAAAAGAAUACCGGUGGCGAAGGCGACUUACUGGGCUCAUUCUGACGCUGAGGAACGAAAGCGUGGGUAGCAAACAGG